ACAGAGGUGGCAAGCGUUGUUCGGAAUUACUGGGCGUAAAGGGCGCGUAGGCGGUUUCGUAAGUCGUGUGUGAAAUCCCCCGGCUCAACUGGGGAACUGCACACGAAACUGCGAGGCUUGAAUCCGGGAGAGGGAUGCGGAAUUCCAGGUGUAGCGGUGAAAUGCGUAGAUAUCUGGAGGAACACCGGUGGCGAAGGCGGCAUCCUGGACCGGUAUUGACGCUGAGGCGCGAAAGCCAGGGGAGCAAACGGGA
rnacentral:rRNA from 1 species